AAUAGAUACCCUGGUAGUCCACGCCGUAAACGAUGAGUGCUAAGUGUUAGAGGGUUUCCGCCCUUUAGUGCUGCAGCUAACGCAUUAAGCACUCCGCCUGGGGAGUACGGUCGCAAGACUGAAACUCAAAGGAAUUGACGGGGGCCCGCACAAGCGGUGGAGCAUGUGGUUUAAUUCGAAGCAACGCGAAGAACCUUACCAGGUCUUGACAUCCUCUGACAACUCUAGAGAUAGAGCGUUCCCCUUCGGGGGACAGAGUGACAGGUGGUGCAUGGUUGUCGUCAGCUCGUGUCGUGAGAUGUUGGGUUAAGUCCCGCAACGAGCGCAACCCUUGACCUUAGUUGCCAGCAUUUAGUUGGGCACUCUAAGGUGACUGCCGGUGACAAACCGGAGGAAGGUGGGGAUGACGUCAAAUCAUCAUGCCCCUUAUGACCUGGGCUACACACGUGCUACAAUGGAUGGUACAAAGGGCUGCAAGACCGCGAGGUCAAGCCAAUCCCAUAAAACCAUUCUCAGUUCGGA
rnacentral:rRNA from 1 species